rnacentral:rRNA from 1 species
UACGAAGGGGGGCUAGCGUUGCUCGGAAUCACUGGGCGUAAAGCGCACGUAGGCGGCUUUUUUAAGUCAGGGGUGAAAUCCUGGAGCUCAACUCCAGAACUGCCUUUGAUACUGAGAAGCUUGAGUCCGGGAGAGGUGAGUGGAACUCCGAGUGUAGAGGUGAAAUUCGUAGAUAUUCGGAAGAACACCAGUGGCGAAGGCGGCUCACUAGUCCGGUACUGACGCUGAUGUGCGAAAGCGUGGGGAGCAAACAGG